GCAGCGGUAGUUCAGUUGGUUAGAAUACCUGCCUGUCACGCAGGGGGUCGCGGGUUCGAGUCCCGUCCGCUGCGCCA
rnacentral:tRNA from 7 species